UACAGAGACUGCAAGCGUUAUUCGGAAUCACUGGGCGUAAAGGGUGCGCAGGCGGCUGUGUGUGUGAGGUGUGAAAGCCCGGGGCUUAACCCCGGAAUUGCACCUCAAACUACACGGCUAGAGCAUUGGAGAGGGGAGCAGAAUUCACGGUGUAGCAGUGAAAUGCGUAGAUAUCGUGAGGAAUACCAGAGGCGAAGGCGGCUACCUGGACAAUUGCUGACGCUCAGGCACGAAAGCGUGGGGAGCAAAAGGGAUUAGAUACCCCUGUAGUCCACGCCCUAAACGGUGCACACUAGGUCUUGGCGGAUUCGACCCCACCAGGGCCCCAGCUAACGCGUUAAGUGUGCCGCCUGAGGACUACGGCCGCAAGGCUA
rnacentral:rRNA from 1 species